rnacentral:rRNA from 1 species
GUGGGGAAAAUUGGACAAUGGGCGCAAGCCUGAUCCAGCCAUGCCGCGUGAGUGAUGAAGGCCUUAGGGUUGUAAAGCUCUUUUGUCCGGGAAGAUAAUGACUGUACCGGAAGAAUAAGCCCCGGCUAACUUCGUGCCAGCAGCCGCGGUAAUACGAAGGGGGCUAGCGUUGUUCGGAAUCACUGGGCGUAAAGCGCACGUAGGCGGACCAUUAAGUCAGGGGUGAAAGCCUGGAGCUCAACUCCAGAACUGCCUUUGAUACUGAUGGUCUCGAGUAUGGAAGAGGUUGGUGGAACUGCGAGUGUAGAGGUGAAAUUCGUAGAUAUUCGCAAGAACACCGGUGGCGAAGGCGGCCAACUGGUCCAUUACUGACGCUGAGGUGCGAAAGCGUGGGGAGCAAACAGGAUUAGAAACCCUUGUAGUCC